rnacentral:rRNA from 1 species
UACAGAGGGGGCAAGCGUUAUUCGGAAUUAUUGGGCGUAAAGGGCGCGUAGGCGAUCUGACAAGUCUGGUGUGAAAGCCCACAUGUUAACUGUGGAAGUGCAUUAGAAACUGUUGGAUUUGAGUUCAGGAGAGGAAGGCAGAAUUCCCGGUGUAGCGGUGAAAUGCGUAGAGAUCGGGAGGAAUACCAGUGGCGAAGGCGGCCUUCUGGACUGACACUGACGCUGAGGCGCGAAAGCCAGGGGAGCAAACGGG